ACCCCCAAAGAACAGUGGACCUAUGGAUUUGCCUACCACAGAAGAUACCAAGUCAUUAAAUUUAUUUAAGAAUGAUUUUGAUAUAGGACUAAUCGCUAUAAGAGGUCAAGAGAUAUGGAGAUAAAGUAGGAACAAGGUACUGAAUUUAGAAUAAUCAGCCAUGCUCAUAUUGAAUAGUGAAGUAGUCUCAAAGGACCGAAUGGAUACUACUACUCCGAAUGUUUACGUCUAAUCCUCUUUUUUUUUCUACUGAUUUGAUAUUUAAUGGAUUUUCUGAUAUGGUUCUAGUGCAGAUUGUUUAUUUACUUUAUAUAUGAUAGAAAAACAAAGGCAUUCAGCUCAUUGGAUCCUUUUCACUUAACUCAACAAUGCCCUCAGUUAUUGACUACUCUCCUGACAUCCUUGUACUUCUGCAAUUUAUUCUAGUUCACAAUGGCAUUAAAUCCUGUUUAAUUUUAUUUUGCCCUUUACUUAUACAAAGGCUAAUCUACUAUGGUCAAUCAAUCUGCCUGCUCAUCUUUGGGAUGUGGGAAUCUCCAUGCCAAAGCCCUCUGGGCAUACAGAGAAGGUGCCAACUCUACAUGAACAGAUCUCAACAUCUAGCUUGAAUCUGGAUUAAAGUUUUGAGGUAGAAGCAUUGAAUUGUUGAUCCACCAGACUGCUUAUGACUCUUCAAUCUGAUUGGUCAGGAAGAUCCUCAUCUUCUGCCCAAUUUACAUAGAUCCUGGACUCUCCUGUUAAAAGCACAGGGAUUUUAUUUUGGUUGAUUGGCUGAUGGCAGCUUAGCAUGCAAAAUCUCACUGGAAGUAUGUGGGUCAUUGGAAUUUUAUUAAACAAUUCAUAUCUGAUUUAACAUGACACUGUUGAAGGCAGUUGACAACUUACUGGCAGUUCCAAAGCAAGAAAUACAACUAAAUACUUUAUUAAUAACUCUUUUUUCUCUAAACAAAAUUAUAGUAAAUGAUCACCAUGAACAUUGAGGAGGCGUGCAAUGCCAAGGCUGAGUCGAGGGUUGAGGCGUGCGAGUGCAAGAGUAGUUGGAGAGAGGUUGAGGAAUGUUCAAGGAGGACUCACAGCAAGCUUCUGGAGAGCACCACACAGAACAGUAUCAGUGGAACAGUUACAGUUCUCAGGACCACUGACACAUGACUCCUUACAAUGUGAGAGCCCUGAAUAUGCAGGAGGGGAAGACAUUAAAACAGCCCCAUGAAGCAAAGAAAACCAUGGAACCAGUUCAAUGAAUAAACAUCAAACACCCAACAUGCAAAAAAAGAACAAAUUGUGCAAGCGGCAAAGAACAAGCAAAUAACAUGCAGAAUUCUAAGCAUCAAACUGCACAGUCACAUUAUCAAAAUAUAAAUUACAGGUUCCAAUUGUAGACAGAUUACUUAUUUGUUUGUUUAUUUAUUUAUGGCAUACUUCUGGCCCUUUGAACUGCACUCCCCAGCCAUCCGCCAAUGGAAUCCUAGCCUAAUCACUGGACAAUUUACCAUGACCAUUUAACCUACUAACCAGUAUGUCUUUGGAUUGUGGGAGGAAACCGGAGCUCCUGGAGGAGACCUACGUGGUCACAGGGAGACUAUACAAUCUCCUUACAAGCAGUGGCGAGAAAUGAACAUGGGUCGCCUGUACUGUAAAGUGUUGUGCUAACCACUAUGCUACUGUGCUGCCCCAGUAGUAGAAGAAUAUUUAAAAGAAGAAGGAGAAGAAGUAGUUUUGGGAGCACUCAGCAAGACAUCACUAACAGUCAUGUUGGUUGCUGGUGCCAUCUUACCCCCUUUUUAAAAUGAAGUUUCAAUAUCUAACUUACUGUUAGUAUUACAAUACAGCAACAGAUUUCAGGAAAAUAUUUAGUAGGUCAAACAGCAUCUAUGGAGGGAGAAUCGGACUUGAUGCUUCAGAAUAAUAAUCUGACAUUCUAAAAUAUGUUUUGUUCUACAUUUGUACCUAUCCAAGAGCAGAAAAUGAUAGAGCUUAAUGUAAACAUUCAGCAAAACAUCUUACAGGAUUCCAGGGCAGCCCAAUGUUCUAGGUCUGCCAUCCUGGAAGGCCAUCUUGGUGUAGUCAACAGUUAAAAAUACCAAUGCAGACAGAAGAAUGGACUGUGUUUUCAGUCUGAAUCUGCAUUUGAAGGUUGUCACAUUGUCACAUACAAAGAUACUUAGUGAUGCACAAAGUUCUCUGAGAGUGCUAAGCGGAUAUCAGUAAGGAGGCUUCUGAAGAAUUAAUUGCCGGUACGAAUCUCUAGCAUUGAAUACUCUCAGGAAGAAUUAGUCUAGUAUGGGAAGGCAGGGGACAAUUAAGAUAUAUGCUUGUUUUGACAUAAGGAAUGUUGAGUCCAUCUAAAGCAUCUCUAGAAACAUAGAAACAUUAAAAAACAUAGAAAACCUACAGCACAAUAGAGGUCCUUUGGCCCACAAAGCUGUGCCAAACAUGUCCUUACCUUAGAAAUUACCUAGGGGUACACAUAGCGCUCUAUUUUACUAACCUCCAUGUACCUGUCUAGGAGUCUCUUAAAAUACACUAUUAUAUUCGCCUCCACCACUGUCACCUGCAGCCUAUUCCACACACUCAAACAUUCUCUACAUAAAAAACUUACCUCUGUACAUACUUCCAAACACCUUAAAGCUGCCCUCUCAUGCUAGCCAUCUCAGCCCUAGGAAAAAGCCCUGACUAUCCACAUGAUCAAUACAUAUCAUUAUCUUACACACCUCUAUCAGGUCACCUCUCAUCCUCGGUCGCUUCAAGGAGAAAAGGCCAAAUUCACUCAACCUAUUCUCAUAAGGCAUGCUCCCCAAUCCAAGCAACAUCCUUGUAAAUCUCCUCGGCAGUUUUUCUAUGGUUUCCACAUCCUUCCUAUAGUGAGGUGACCAGAAUUGAGCACAGUACUCCAAGUGGGGUCUGACCAGGGUUCUAUGUAGCUGCAACAUUACCUCUCGGCUCCUAAACUCAA